CCUACGGGUGGCAGCAGUGGGGGAUAUUGCACAAUGGGGGGAACCCUGAUGCAGCGACGCCGCGUGGGUGAAGAAGCGCCUCGGCGCGUAAAGCCCUGUCAGCAGGGAAGAAAAUGACGGUACCUGAAGAAAAAGCCCCGGCUAACUACGUGCCAGCAGCCGCGGUAAUACGUAGGGGGCAAGCGUUAGCCGGAUUUACUGGGUGGAAAGGGGGCGGAGACGGCGAUGCAAGCCAGGAGUGAAAGCCCGGGGCCCAACCCCGGGACUGCUUUUGGAACUGCGUGGCUGGAGUGCAGGAGGGGCAGGCGGAAUUCCUGGUGUAGCGGUGAAAUGCGUAGAUAUCAGGAGGAACACCAGUGGCGAAGGCGGCCUACUGGACUGCAACUGACGUUGAGGCCCGAAAGCGUGGGGAGCAAACAGGAUUAGAUACCCGGGUAGUC
rnacentral:rRNA from 1 species